rnacentral:rRNA from 1 species
AGUCACUGACAUUAGAUACCCGUGUAGUCCAGGGUGUAAACGCUGCAGACUUGGGUGUUGGAAGCCCUUUGGGGGCAUUCAGUGCCGGAGAGAAGUUGAUAAGUCUGCUACUUGGGGAGUACGUCCGCAAGGAUGAAACUUAAGGAAUUGGCGGGGGAGCACCGCAACGGGAGGAGCGUGCGGUUUAAUUGGAUUCAACACCGUAAACUCACCAGGGAAGACUGUUACAUGAAGGCCGAGAUGAAGACUCUGCUAGAUUUUCAG